AUCGAUCUCGUAGUGACCUGCGGAGGGAUCAUUACACAAAUAUGAAGGCGGGCUGGAACCUCUCGGGGUUACAGCCUUGCUGAAUUAUUCACCCUUGUCUUUUGCGUACUUCUUGUUUCCUUGGUGGGUUCGCCCACCACUAGGACAAACAUAAACCUUUUGUAAUUGCAAUCAGCGUCAGUAACAAAUUAAUAAUUACAACUUUCAACAACGGAUCUCUUGGUUCUGGCAUCGAUGAAGAACGCAGCGAAAUGCGAUAAGUAGUGUGAAUUGCAGAAUUCAGUGAAUCAUCGAAUCUUUGAACGCACAUUGCGCCCUUUGGUAUUCCAAAGGGCAUGCCUGUUCGAGCGUCAUUUGUACCCUCAAGCUUUGCUUGGUGUUGGGCGUCUUGUCUCUAGCUUUGCUGGAGACUCGCCUUAAAGUAAUUGGCAGCCGGCCUACUGGUUUCGGAGCGCAGCACAAGUCGCACUCUCUAUCAGCAAAGGUCUAGCAUCCAUUAAGCCUUUUUUUCAACUUUUGACCUCGGAUCAGGUAGGGAUACCCGCUGAACUUAA
rnacentral:rRNA from 1 species